ACAGAUGGGAGCUUGCUCCCUGAUGUUAGCGGCGGACGGGUGAGUAACACGUGGGUAACCUGCCUGUAAGACUGGGAUAACUCCGGGAAACCGGGGCUAAUACCGGAUGGUUGUUUGAACCGCAUGGUUCAAACAUAAAAGGUGGCUUCGGCUACCACUUACAGAUGGACCCGCGGCGCAUUAGCUAGUUGGUGAGGUAACGGCUCACCAAGGCAACGAUGCGUAGCCGACCUGAGAGGGUGAUCGGCCACACUGGGACUGAGACACGGCCCAGACUCCUACGGGAGGCAGCAGUAGGGAAUCUUCCGCAAUGGACGAAAGUCUGACGGAGCAACGCCGCGUGAGUGAUGAAGGUUUUCGGAUCGUAAAGCUCUGUUGUUAGGGAAGAACAAGUACCGUUCGAAUAGGGCGGUACCUUGACGGUACCUAACCAGAAAGCCACGGCUAACUACGUGCCAGCAGCCGCGGUAAUACGUAGGUGGAAGGUUUGUCCGGAAUUAUUGGGCGUAAAGGGCUCGCAGCGGUUUCUUAACUGGAUGUGAAAGCCCCCC
rnacentral:rRNA from 1 species